AGAUGUUGGCGAUAUAUUGUCAGUGUUUUAGAGAAAUCGUUAAGUGAUCCACCUGGGGAGUACGUUCGCAAGAAUGAAACUCAAAGGAAUUGACGGGGGCCCGCACAAGCGGAGGAGCAUGUGGUUUAAUUCGAUGAUACGCGAGGAACCUUACCAAGACUUAAAUGUAUUUUGACAGGUUGAGAAAUCAACUUUUCUUCGGACAAUUUACAAGGUGCUGCAUGGUUGUCGUCAGCUCGUGCCGUGAGGUGUCGGGUUAAGUCCCAUAACGAGCGCAACCCCUAUUUUUAGUUACCAGCGAGUCAUGUCGGGAACUCUAGAAAGACUGCCUGUGUAAACAGUGAGGAAGGUGGGGAUGACGUCAAAUCAUCACGGCCCUUAUGUCUUGGGCUACACACGUGCUACAAUGGUCACUACAGUGGGCUGCCAUCUGGCAACAGAGAGCAAAUCCAUAAAGGUGAUCCCAGUUCGGAUCGGAGUCUGCAACUCGACUCUGUGAAGUUGGAUUCGCUAGUAAUCGUAUAUCAGCAAUGAUACGGUGAAUACGUUCCCGGGCCUUGUACACACCGCCCGUCAAGCCAUGGAAGUUUGUGGUGCCUGAAGUCAGUAACCGUAAGGAUCUGCCUAGGGUAAAACAGAUAACUAGGGCU
rnacentral:rRNA from 1 species